ACUUUAAGUCUCCUGAAGGAACGUUGAAGACGACGACGUUGAUAGGUCGGGUGUGUAAGCGCAGCGAUGCGUUGAGCUAACCGAUACUAAUGAACCGUGAGGCUUAACCUU
rnacentral:rRNA from 2 species